rnacentral:misc_RNA from 1 species
GAUGAAGAACGUAGCGAAAUGCGAUAAGUAAUGUGAAUUGCAGAAUUCAGUGAAUCAUCGAAUCUUUGAACGCACAUUGCGCCCGCCAGUAUUCUGGCGGGCAUGCCUGUUCGAGCGUCAUUUCAACCAUCAAGCCCCAGGCUUGUGUUGGGGACCUGCGGCUGCCGCAGGCCCUGAAAACCAGUGGCGGGCUCGCUGUCACACCGGGCGUAGUAGAUUUUAUCUCGCUCUGGGCGUGCUGCGGGUUCCGGCCGUUAAACAACCCUUUUAACCCAAGGUUGACCUCGGAUCAGGUAGGAAUACCCGCUGAACUUAAGCAUAUCAAUAAGCGGAGGA